UAAAUUUCGGUACUCAUCCUCAGGGAAAAAGAAAUUGUAAAACUAUGGUGUAUGGCAAAUAAACUCAACGGCUUUUGUUCAAGCUAUUCGGGAUCAUCAGCGGCCAACACCCACAUCCCUGGUUCCCCACUGACUCGCACCUUUCUGAUAUUGCCUUGGGCCGGUACCUGGAAACAACGUCGGAUUUGGAUCCUUCCAGGUAGUCGGUCACCUCCUUAAUGUAUCUGACCCAGCGUGAAGCCCUCAGGUAUUCGGCCGACGGAGGCAUUACCUCAGCAGCUGCCUCCACCGCUUCGCAUUUGGCGCCAUGGACUCCACCGCCCGGUGGCGAUAUUUCUACUGCAGUUGAGCCCCUUAUCGCUGGCAUCAAGCGUUCUACUGAAGCUUGGUAUUCUGCCAACUCUUUAGCCAAGCGUUCUAGAUUCGAGAGCGCAAGCAAUUUGCCUAUAUAUCCACAAAGGCCAGGAGAGAAGGAUUGUGCCUACUAUAUGCUCACACGAACCUGUAAAUUUGGAGAUAGCUGCAAGUUUGACCAUCCUAUUUGGGUUCCCGAGGGUGGAAUCCCAAAUUGGACAGAGGUCCCACCUGUUGCUACAGUUGAAUCCCUUCCUCAAAGACUAGGGCAACCUGAUUGUCCUUACUUUCUAAAAACUCACAGAUGCAAGUAUGGUUUGAAAUGCAAGUUUAAUCAUCCAACAGAAAAAUUGGCUUUGGAUGGCUUGGAAAACAAUGAUGUUUCUGCCUUACCAGAGAGACCCUCUGAACCCACAUGUGCAUUCUAUAUGAAGACUGGGAUAUGCAAAUUUGGAGCAACAUGCAAAUUUCAUCAUCCAAAAGAUAUCCAGAUACUAUCAGGACAAGAGAAUGGCAAUUCUGUGCAGACUGAAUCAGCAGUUCAGAUUGAUGAAAUAACUGGCCAUGUCAAUGCGGCUCAGGCUUCUAUUUCAUUCAACCCAGCAUUAUUUCAUAAUUCCAAAGGACUUCCAAUGAGACUGGGUGAACUGGAUUGUCCGUUCUACCUGAAAACUGGCAGUUGCAAGUAUGGUGCCAUUUGCCGCUAUAAUCAUCCUGAUAGGAAUGCAAUCAAUCCACCUGCUGCUGCUGUAGGGCAUCCCAUCGUAGCCACUCUUGCAGCUAAUCUGAACAUUGGAGUUGUUCCUGCUGCCUCGAUUUAUCAAUUUAUGGACCCUAGAUUGGCUCAUUCAACGGUAAAUAAGAUCUGGGAGUGGGGUCCACUGUCUACCCUCAACGGCCUGGACAAACAGAAUGCGAUGUUACUAUAUGAAGACUGGCGAGUGUAAAUUUGGCGAAAGAUGCAAGUUCCAUCACCCAAUUGAUAGGUCUGCAUGGAUGGCAAUGCAAGCUCAAGCGCAGACUGUUAAGCUCACUCUUGCAGGAUUACCCAGGAGAGAGUUUCUAUUUGUUCGUGCACAGGAAAGGCCGCUGAAGCAGGCCUUGACCUGAUCCCCUUUAGUCCAUUGUUCAACCCGAGGGCUUUUGUGGCUCCUUUUUUAUGUCCCUUGAAGUGAUGGUGCUUUUUGUGGUUACAAUAUUUUAAAUUUACUUUCAUAUGUAUUUUGCUCUUUUUUCAUCAUUAAAUUAGACUUUGUAAAUUCAUUCAAGGAAAGUUAUUGACCAAUAAGUUUUGCUUUGUAAAAGAACAAAGUUACAAUUAAAAAUCCCAUUGAAAAUUUUAUAUAAGAAGUGUGGAAUAAAC